AUCUUUUCACUUGGGGCAAUGACGCAGCUAGUGAGGAAUUAACUGAGGCGCGUCUAUUGCUGGUUGAAAACUAUUUCCAAACCCCCUCUUAGGCUUGGUGCAACUGCCUUCGAGAAUUUUUGGAAGGACUCCCUUUUAGGUAAAGUC
rfam:Medicago truncatula strain A17 chromosome 5, whole genome shotgun sequence.